rnacentral:rRNA from 1 species
AGAGUUUGAUCAUGGCUCAGAACGUACGCUGGCGGCACGCCUAACACAUGCAAGUCGAACGAAGUAGCAAUACUUAGUGGCAGACGGGUGAGUAACAUGUGGGUAUCUGCCCUUUGGCCUGGAAUAACACGAGGAAACUUGUGCUAAUACCGGAUAAGUCUUUACGGAGAAAGCUUUAUGCACCAUUGGAUGAGCCCGCACUUGAUUAGUUUGUUGGUGGGGUAAUGGCCUACCAAGACUGUGAUCAAUAGCUGAUUUGAGAGGAUGAUCAGCCACAUUGGGACUGAGACACGGCCCAAACUCCUACGGGAGGCAGCAGUGGGGAAUCUUGCACAAUGGAGGAAACUCUGAUGCAGCGAUGCCGCGUGAGUGAAGAAGGCCCUUGGGUUGUAAAGCUCUUUCGUCGGGGAAGAAAAUGACUGUACCCGAAUAAGAAGGUCCGGCUAACUUCGUGCCAGCAGCCGCGGUAAUACGAAGGGACCUAGCGUAGUUCGGAAUUACUGGGCUUAAAGAGUUCGUAGGUGGUUGAAAAAGUUAGUGGUGAAAUCCCAGAGCUUAACUCUGGAACUGCCAUUAAAACUUUUCAGCUAGAGUAUGAUAGAGGAAAGCAGAAUUUCUAGUGUAGAGGUGAAAUUCGUAGAUAUUAGAAAGAAUACCAAUUGCGAAGGCAGCUUUCUGGAUCAUUACUGACACUGAGGAACGAAAGCAUGGGUAGCGAAGAGGAUUAGAUACCCUCGUAGUCCAUGCCGUAAACGAUGUGUGUUAGACGUUGGAAAUUUAUUUUCAGUGUCGCAGGGAAACCGAUAAACACACCGCCUGGGGAGUACGACCGCAAGGUUAAAACUCAAAUGAAUUGACGGGGACCCGCACAAGUAGUGGAGCAUGUGGUUUAAUUCGAAGAUACGCGCAGAACCUUACCAACACUUGACAUGUUCGUCGCGACUCUAAGAGAUUAGAGUUUUCGGUUCGGCCGGACGAAACACAGGUGCUGCAUGGCUGUCGUCAGCUCGUGUCGUGAGAUGUUGGGUUAAGUCCCGCAACGAGCGCAACCCUCACUUUUAGUUGCCAUCAUUAAGUUGGGCACUCUGAAAGAACUGCCAGUGAUAAGCUGGAGGAAGGUGGGGAUGACGUCAAGUCCUCAUGGCCCUUACGUGUUGGGCUACACACGUGCUACAAUGGUAUCUACAACAGGAAGCAAGACUGCGAAGUUAAGCAAAUCCCUAAAAGAUACCUCAGUUCGGAUUGCACUCUGCAACUCGAGUGCAUGAAGCUGGAAUUACUAGUAAUCGUGGAUCAGCGUGCCACGGUGAAUGCGUUCCCGGGUCUUGUACACACCGCCCGUCACACCAUGGGAGUUGGUUCUACCUUAAGGCAAGGUUUCAAACCCUUGACCACGGUAUAGUCAGCGACUGGGGUGAAGUCGUAACAAGGUAACCG